rnacentral:rRNA from 1 species
AUACUUAGGGCUGAUUGGUGAUUAAUCUUGGGUAACCUGCCUGUAAGACUGGGAUAACUCCGGGAAACCGGGGCUAAUACCGGAUGGUUGUUUGAACCGCAUGGUUCAAACAUAAAAGGUGGCUUCGGCUACCACUUACAGAUGGACCCGCGGCGCAUUAGCUAGUUGGUGAGGUAACGGCUCACCAAGGCAACGAUGCGUAGCCGACCUGAGAGGGUGAUCGGCCACACUGGGACUGAGACACGGCCCAGACUCCUACGGGAGGCAGCAGUAGGGAAUCUUCCGCAAUGGACGAAAGUCUGACGGAGCAACGCCGCGUGAGUGAUGAAGGUUUUCGGAUCGUAAAGCUCUGUUGUUAGGGAAGAACAAGUACCGUUCGAAUAGGGCGGUACCUUGACGGUACCUAACCAGAAAGCCACGGCUAACUACGUGCCAGCAGCCGCGGUAAUACGUAGGUGGCAAGCGUUGUCCGGAAUUAUUGGGCGUAAAGGGCUCGCAGGCGGUUUCUUAAGUCUGAUGUGAAAGCCCCCGGCUCAACCGGGGAGGGUCAUUGGAAACUGGGGAACUUGAGUGCAGAAGAGGAGAGUGGAAUUCCACGUGUAGCGGUGAAAUGCGUAGAGAUGUGGAGGAACACCAGUGGCGAAGGCGACUCUCUGGUCUGUAACUGACGCUGACGAGCGAAAGCGUGGGGAGCGAACAGGAUUAGAUACCCUGGUAGUCCACGCCGUAAACGAUGAGUGCUAAGUGU